CCUACGGGUGGCAGCAGUAGGGAAUAUUGCACAAUGGGGGAAACCCUGAUGCAGCAACGCCGCGUGAGCGAUGAAGGUUUUCGGCAUGUAAAGCUCUUUUGUUAGAGAAGAAAAUGACGGUACCUAACUAAUAACCCCCGGCUAACUACGUGCCAGCAGCCGCGGUAAUACGGAGGGGGCAAGCGUUACCCGGAUUUACUGGGGGUAAAGGGCGCGUAGGCGGUAGAGCAAGUCAGAUGUGAAAGCCUAUGGCUGAACCAUAGGACUGCAUUGGAAACUGUGAGGCUAGAGUGUUGGAGAGGAAGGUGGAAUUCUUAGUGUAGCGGUGAAAUGCGUAGAUAUUAGGAGGAACACCAGUGGCGAAGGCGGCCUGCUGGAAGAUAACUGACGCUGAGGCGCGAAAGCGUGGGGAGCGAACAGGAUUAGAUACCCGAGUAGUC
rnacentral:rRNA from 1 species